rnacentral:rRNA from 1 species
GAUGAACGCUGGCGGCGUGCUUAACACAUGCAAGUCGAACGAAGCACUUUAACCUGAUUCUUCGGAUGAAGGUUUUUGUGCCUGAGUGGCGGACGGGUGAGUAACGCGUGGGUAACCUGCCUCAUACAGGGGGAUAACAGUUAGAAAUGACUGCUAAUACCGCAUAAGACCACAGAGCCGCAUGGCUCGGUGGGAAAAACUCCGGUGGUAUGAGAUGGACCCGCGUCUGAUUAGGUAGUUGGUGGGGUAACGGCCUACCAAGCCAACGAUCAGUAGCCGACCUGAGAGGGUGACCGGCCACAUUGGGACUGAGACACGGCCCAAACUCCUACGGGAGGCAGCAGUGGGGAAUAUUGCACAAUGGGGGAAACCCUGAUGCAGCGACGCCGCGUGAGCGAAGAAGUAUUUCGGUAUGUAAAGCUCUAUCAGCAGGGAAGAAAAUGACGGUACCUGACUAAGAAGCACCGGCUAAAUACGUG